GGAGAAGUACCCAAGCUGGCUGAAGGGGCUCCCCUGCUAAGGGAGUAGACGGUGUAAAUCGUGCGAGGGUUCGAAUCCCUCCUUCUCCGCCA
rnacentral:tRNA from 1 species